UCCAGAAAGAUCCAGGCUCACAGAAAGAACCUCACCAAAGAGAAAACUGCAGAGACCCUUCCCCAGUCACAGUCAGCCCUUAAAUGGGGUCUAAGAGAGGUGCAGCCAGGCUCCACCCCUUCUGGUCACACAGCUGAAUUACCUUCACCUGUGCUCCCAUGCCUGACCAAGUCCUUUCCCCAGGUACUCAAUCAGUGGUUCAGACCAUGACUCAACAGUUACCGUACAGUGUUUCACAGCAAUUAAAUACGAAAUGCAAAAAUCUGAAUUCAGAGGCGAGUAAAUGCUGAGAAUGUUUCUAUUAUAUGCUGUAUGGGAACUGCUGAGUCACAGCCUGAACCUCUGAUUGAUCACCUGAGGCGAGCCAUGAGUCAGCCACAGGAGCACAGCUGAAGGCAAUUCACCUGUGCUGCUGGAAGGGGUGGAGCUUGGCUCCAUCCCUCCUAGACCUAUUUAAGAGCUGGCUACCGGGGGGAAGGAUUUUGUCUGGAGAUCCCCACUUCUGGUGUUUUUUGUAGGUGAGCAUAGCAUACAGGCUCACUGAACAGUGAGAAGCGUUAUUCAUGUUUCACCCAUUCUGCUGCAUCAAAGGGAAAUUCCAUAACCUACUGUGGGUCACAGAACAACCUGUACCAGGUAUUUUGUGUAUACAGAAAUUUUUAAUGGAUCCUAUCUCACCAACAUUUCUGCACAAACAAGACCUAGUAAUCCUCAGAAGGUCAUAAAGCUACAGUUGUGAAAACAUAAUGAAGAGUAGUGACUCAUACAAAAAGUACACUUCUAGCCUUUUUCCUGAUAAAGAACAUCCACUCCAGAGUUCCCAAAGUACCUGCAGGGGUCUCUUAAAGCUCGGAAGCUCUUCAAAGCCACCUACAUGAUGCACAAUUUAUGGCUCACUAGAAGUUUCUCAAGAUUUUGCAGACGCUAGAAGGCAGAAGUGAAGCCUGACGGGAGUUACCACGAGGAUCGCGUAUCGGUCUUCCUAUCUGCGGUAAGAAUCAGCGGGCAGCGCCGUCCCUUUGCCGUACCAUCCGCAAAGCCCAACGGGCCGCAGCCACGCAGCCCCAGGCUCUGCCCUGCGCCCCCAGCCAUGCCCGCCCCCUGCUAAGGGAGGGGACGAAACCGCGCCCAGCGAGGCGGCCGCGCUGGACGUUACCUCUUCCCACUCGGCCUCCGCACCGUACUCGGGCGGCUUCACCUGCAGCCGAGCGAACAGGCACUGCUGCACAAAGAGUAGGUACUUGGAGAUUGACUGUAUCCAGAAGACCCUCUUUGUUAUUUUCACAUCAGUUCUUUUUAAGAGAGGUAGAUGGCAGCAUGAGUCACUUCUCGCAAACAGAGCUGGGAUGGAAAUAAAACAGACGCUUAUUUUCUCAACCAGGAGGAACUUGCUCAGCUUCUUGUCUGUUAGACUUCAAAGUUUUGGACUGCCAUGGUUUUAUAUGCAGUACUUGUAAAAAGUGCUCUUGGAUCGGAUUUAUUUUCAUCUGAUGUUUCAGCAUGCAUGGAUCAAUCUGGAAGAUGCUGCUGCUGGCACAAUUGUGUAAGUGGUCCAUAUAAACCCAAAGAACUUAAGUUACCUUUGGUGAUGUCUUUGGUGAUUAAGACUGCUAAUGUACUAGAAAUUACAAGAAAAGCAUUUAAUGGCCACAGAGCAAAAGUGAAUUUGUUUGGAAUAUGAGACAGAUUUUUAAAAUAAUUAGUAAAUACAAAACCUGCUAGAUGUUGGUGUUGUUUCUCAAUUAGUCUCAUUGUUCAAAUUAGAUUAAUUUGCUAUACAAAACUCACUUAUGCUCCAGGUUCCGAUGCUAACAAAUGCUUCCUGUAAAACAAAUUCAUUACCAAGCAAAUGAAUGAAGAACAGAAUUAAAAUGAUUUUACAAAUUGAAAUUGUGCCUGAAUGACAUUAUUGCUCAAACCAGUGCUGUCAUAUGGUUUAGUGAAGCUUUUAUGGAAGUGAAGAUCUUAAUUCUGCAUCUGUAUGAUGUCAAAUGCAAAAAAAAAAUAAUAAUAAAAUUCCUUCCACCACUGGAAUUACAAUUUACGUGCUGUUGGAAGAGAAGGUAUUUCUAUCCUUCAGUGGUUGUAGCACAUAUGGCAAAGAGUUGGAAAGUUUAAAAAAAAAAAAAAAGAAAAAAAAAAAAAAGAAAGCUUAUAAGUACAGGAAGACCAUUAAUUGGAGUGAGCUAGUUACAUUCAUGCAAGGAAUAAAUAUCUUGUGUACCUAAGAAAAUAAUUAUGUACCUUUGUUACUGAAAGGUGUAUUCAGCAAAACAAAUGCCUUCAUUUUCUGCACUACUUAAGACUGCUUAAGCUGUCUUCACUGUGAUGUGACUGCUACUAUAGUACAUGAUAUGUACCUGAAGAACUUGAUUGACUUCAGAAGAAUCGAGCAGUAGUUUAAAAAAAGAUUCUCUUCUUGACUGUGAAGAUCUGCACAGAUCAUAGCAUCCACAUGAAAGUAAUAUACAAACUAAAUUGGAUUCAAUCCUGUCAGGCCUUGGUCCUCAUUUAGUGAACAGGACUAAAGCAGAGAACUUAAUUUCUCAGUUUAAGGUCUAGGAAAGUGUCUGCAUAAAAUGAAGCUACUUUUGUGGUCGUAAUGGAAAUAUUAAUAUACAUUAUAAAGAAAAAUGUGUAUUACUACUGUGUCUUCUGUGUCUUCUUGUUUGUUAAUCUAUUACAGUUUAAGUAUUGCCAUGUAUUAUGGUAUUUCGUGUGACACCACAGGUAAACCUCUCUUGUUUA